GAUGAACGCUGGCGGCGUGCCUAACACAUGCAAGUCGAACGGAACCCCUCGGGGUUCAGUGGCGGACGGGUGAGUAACGCGUGAGAAUCUGUCUUCGGGACGGGGACAACGGUUGGAAACGACCGCUAAUACCCGAUGUGCCGAGAGGUGAAACUUUUAUGGCCCGAAGGGGAGCUCGCGUCCGAUUAGCUAGUUGGCGGUGUAAGGGACCACCAAGGCGACGAUCGGUAGCUGGUCUGAGAGGAUGAGCAGCCACACUGGGACUGAGACACGGCCCAGACUCCUACGGGAGGCAGCAGUGGGGAAUUUUCCGCAAUGGGCGAAAGCCUGACGGAGCAACGCCGCGUGAGGGAGGAAGGUCCUUGGAUUGUAAACCUCUUUUCUCGAGGAAGAAGUAAGUGACGGUACUCGAGGAAUCAGCCUCGGCUAACUCCGUGCCAGCAGCCGCGGUAAUACGGGGGAGGCAAGCGUUAUCCGGAAUUAUUGGGCGUAAAGCGUCCGCAGGUGGUCUAUCAAGUCUGCCGUCAAAGCGCGCGGCUUAACCGCGUACCGGCGGUGGAAACUGGAAGACUAGAGAGCAGUAGGGGUAGCGGGAAUUCCCAGUGUAGCGGUGAAAUGCGUAGAGAUUGGGAAGAACAUCGGUGGCGAAAGCGCGCUACUGGGCUGUAUCUGACACUCAGGGACGAAAGCUAGGGUAGCGAAAGGGAUUAGAUACCCCUGUAGUCCUAGCCGUAAACGAUGGAUACUAGGCGUGGCUUGUAUCGACCCGAGCCGUGCCGAAGCUAACGCGUUAAGUAUCCCGCCUGGGGAGUACGCGCGCAAGCGUG
rnacentral:rRNA from 1 species